rnacentral:rRNA from 1 species
UACGGGAGAAAGGGGGCAACUUGUUGCUCUCGCUAUUAGAUGAGCCUAAGUCGGAUUAGCUAGAUGGUGGGGUAAAGGCCUACCAUGGCGACGAUCUGUAGCUGGUCUGAGAGGAUGAUCAGCCACACCGGGACUGAGACACGGCCCGGACUCCUACGGGAGGCAGCAGUGGGGAAUAUUGGACAAUGGGGGAAACCCUGAUCCAGCCAUGCCGCGUGUGUGAAGAAGGCCUUUUGGUUGUAAAGCACUUUAAGCAGUGAAGAAGACUCUUCGGUUAAUACCCGGAGACGAUGACAUUAGCUGCAGAAUAAGCACCGGCUAACUCUGUGCCAGCAGCCGCGGUAAUACAGAGGGUGCAAGCGUUAAUCGGAAUUACUGGGCGUAAAGGGAGCGUAGGUGGCUCGAUAAGUCAGAUGUGAAAUCCCCGGGCUCAACCUGGGAACUGCAUCUGAUACUGUUGAGCUAGAGUAUGUGAGAGGAAGGUAGAAUUCCAGGUGUAGCGGUGAAAUGCGUAGAGAUCUGGAGGAAUACCGAUGGCGAAGGCAGCCUUCUGGCAUAAUACUGACACUGAGGCUCGAAAGCGUGGGUAGCAAACAGGAUUAGAUACCCUGGUAGUCCACGCCGUAAACGAUGUCUACUAGUCGUUGGGUCCCUUGAGGACUUAGUGACGCAGCUAACGCAAUAAGUAGACCGCCUGGGGAGUACGGCCGCAAGGUUAAAACUCA